rnacentral:lncRNA from 1 species
CAGUAUAACUGCUAAAUAUUCUUCUUAGGGAAAUAGCUGUAUUUGUUAAACUGGCAACAGCAAACAUUCUGCAAGACCUAGAGAACUCCAAGCAUCUGCUUACAGACAGAAUCCAGACAUUUGGAUUAUCUGCAGGAGCAUCCCUCAGGCUGUCCUCAAGACAUGAACAGCUCACUCCUACCAUAGGCCAAGGUUUGCUGUCCAUUUUUGGUAUUUAUGGAGAAUGUUUCUGGGAAGGGAUAUGCAGGCAAGUAGAUGACAUUCUUCAUCACUAAAGCCCUUUCAGUUUUUGUUUGCUGUGGAACCCUUAUGUCCUGUUUGUGAGAAAUCGUAAUGUUCACACAGCAUUCUUCAGGUUCUAGGAAAAGCAAGGCACAUGAGGGAUAGUAAACAGGUAGAUAGAAAUGGUCCUGUAUUAUUUCCCAUUCUGAGUGUUUUUAAGUGAUGGAACAAGCUUCAGCUGCAGAGUGCAAGGUGACUCUGCUGAAGUUCCUCUGGAAGCUGCAGUUUCUUGUGGACUCUACUCCCCCUCCAGACCUGCUGGUGGUGUUACCUCUUCCAUCUGCAGAACUGUUGCCCUUUCACCAGCUGCACUAGCAUCUGUAGCACCAGGAUCUGCUACUUUGCAGAAAACUGCCUUGUGGCCUGUAAGUGUAAGUAGCUCAGGUUAAGUGUCACUGUGUAUCAAUAUGAAAGCUAAAAAAAUCCAACUACAGUCUGCCUGGGGCCUCCAUGGGCCUUGUGCUUUCACUCUCAGUUGUAUUGCUUCUGUUUAUUGCGCUGUGAGAUCUAAAGUCUCUACUUGCAUGCUUUCCCAUUCUACAC